rnacentral:rRNA from 1 species
GACGAACGCUGGCGGCGUGCUUAACACAUGCAAGUCGAACGAUGAAGCGGGUGCUUGCACUCGUGGAUUAGUGGCGAACGGGCGAGUAACACGUGAGUAACCUGUCCUUUUCUUUGGGAUAACGGCUGGAAACGGCUGCUAAUACUGGAUAUUCAGGCUGCAUCGCAUGGUGUGGUUUGGAAAGGUUUUUUCUGGGAUUGGGUGGGCUCGCGGCCUAUCAGCUUGUUGGUGGGGUGAUGGCUUACCGAGGCUUUGACGGGUAGCCGGCCUGAGAGGGUGGUCGGUCGCACUGGGACGGAGAUACGGCCCAGACUCCUACGGGAGGCAGCAGUGGGGAAUAUUGCACAAUGGACGAAAGUUUGAUGCAGCGACGCCGCGUGGAGGGUGUAGGCCUUCGGGUUGUGAACUCCUUUUUCUCGCGAAAAAGGCACAGUUUUGGCUGUGUUGAUGGUAGUGGGGGAAGAAGCGCCGGCUAACUACGUG